rnacentral:rRNA from 1 species
CGGCGAGCGGCGAACGGGUGAGUAAUGCAUCGGAACGUACCCCGUAGCGGGGGAUAACUCAGCGAAAGCUGGGCUAAUACCGCAUAUGCUCUACGGAGGAAAGUGGGGGAUUCGCAAGAACCUCACACUAUGGGAGCGGCCGAUGCCCGAUUAGCUUGUUGGUGAGGUAAAGGCUUACCAAGGCGACGAUCGGUAGCUGGUCUGAGAGGAUGAUCAGCCACACUGGGACGGAGACACGGCCCAGACUCCUACGGGAGGCAGCAGUGGGGAAUUUUGGACAAUGGGGGCAACCCUGAUCCAGCCAUGCCGCGUGCGGGAAGAAGGCCUUCGGGUUGUAAACCGCUUUUGUUCGGGAAGAAAAGACUACGGCCAAUACCCGUGGUUCUUGACGGUACCGGAAGAAUAAGCACCGGCUAACUACGUGCCAGCAGCCGCGGUAAUACGUAGGGUGCGAGCGUUAAUCGGAAUUACUGGGCGUAAAGCGUGCGCAGGCGGUUCGUUGCGUCUGCUGUGAAAUCCCCGGGCUCAACCUGGGAAUGGCAGUGGAAACUGGCGAGCUUGAGUGUGGCAGAGGGGGGUGGAAUUCCGCGUGUAGCAGUGAAAUGCGUAGAGAUGCGGAGGAACACCGAUGGCGAAGGCAACCCCCUGGGCUGACACUGACGCUCAGGCACGAAAGCGUGGGGAGCAAACAGGAUUAGAUACCCUGGUAGUCCACGCCCUAAACGAUGUCAACUGGGUGUUGGGGAAGCGAUUUCUCAGUACCGUAGCUAACGCGUGAAGUUGACCGCCUGGGGAGUACGGCCGCAAGGUUAAAACUCAAAGGAAUUGACGGGGACCCGCACAAGCGGUGGAUGAUGUGGAUUAAUUCGAUGCAACGCGAACAACCUUACCUACCCUUGACAUGUCC